rnacentral:ncRNA from 2 species
GCAUUUCGCUAGGGGUGUUGCCAGGCUUUUAAUGAAAGCGGGUGACUGAGAAAGUCCCUUUGAACCUGACUGAGGUAAUCCUCGCGCAGGGAAGCAAGUCUGAACAUAG